rnacentral:rRNA from 1 species
GUGGGGAAUCUUGCACAAUGGGGGAAACCCUGAUGCAGCGACGCCGCGUGAGCGAUGAAGCCCUUCGGGGUGUAAAGCUCUUUCGGCAGGGACGAUAAUGACGGUACCUGCAGAAGCAGCUGCGGCUAACUACGUGCCAGCAGCCGCGGUAAUACGUAGGCAGCAAGCGUUGUUCGGAGUUACUGGGCGUAAAGGGUGUGUAGGCGGUUCUCUAAGUUUGGUGUGAAAUCUCCCGGCUCAACCGGGAGGGUGCGCCGAAAACUGGAGGGCUAGAGUGUGGGAUGGGUAAGUGGAAUUCCUGGUGUAGCGGUGAAAUGCGUAGAUAUCAGGAGGAACACCGGUGGUGUAGACGGCUUACUGGACCAUAACUGACGCUGAGACACGAAAGCGUGGGUAGCAAACAGG